rnacentral:rRNA from 1 species
AAUGAACGCUGGCGGCAGGCCUAACACAUGCAAGUCGAGCGAGCGGCGGACGGGUGAGCAAUGUAUGGGGAUCUGCCCGAUAGAGGGGGAUAACUACUGGAAACGGUGGCUAAUACCGCAUACGAUCGGAUGAACCCAUAUGGGAUUAGCUAGUAGGUGGGGUAACGGCUCACCAAGGCGACGAUCUCUAGCUGGGCUGAGAGGAUGAUCAGCCACACUGGGACUGAGACACGGCCCAGACUCCUACGGGAGGCAGCAGUGGGGAAUAUUGCACAAUGGGCGAAAGCCUGAUGCAGCCAUGCCGCGUGUAUGAAGAAGGCCUUCGGGUUGUAAAGUACUUUUGGUAGCGAGGCGUUAUCUACAGAAGAAGCACCGGCUAACUCCGUGCCAGCAGCCGCGGUAAUAC